rnacentral:rRNA from 1 species
AGCAGCCGCGGUAAUACGAAGGGACCUAGCGUAGUUCGGAAUUACUGGGCUUAAAGAGCACGUAGGUGGUUAGAAAAGUUGGUGGUGAAAUCCCAAGGCUUAACCUUGGAACUGCCAUCAAAACUUUUUAACUAGAGUAUGAUAGAGGUAAGCGGAAUUUCUAGUGUAGAGGUGAAAUUCGUAGAUAUUAGAAAGAACACCAAUUGCGAAGGCAGCUUUCUGGAUCAUUACUGACACUGAGGUGCGAAAGCAUGGGUAGCGAAGAGGAUUAGAUACCCUCGUAGUCCAUGCCGUAAACGAUGUGUGCUAGACGUUGGAAAUUUAUUUUUCAGUGUCGCAGCAAAAGCGAUAAGCACACCGCCUGGGGAGUACGACCGCAAGGUUAAAACUCAAAUGAAUUGACGGGGACCCGCACAAGUAGUGGAGCAUGUGGUUUAAUUCGAAGAUACGCGCAGAACCUUACCAACACUUGACAUGUUCGUCGCGACUCUAAGAGAUUGGAGUCUUCGGUUCGGCCGGACGAAACACAGGUGCUGCAUGGCUGUCGUCAGCUCGUGUCGUGAGUUGUUGGGUUAAGUCCCGCAACGAGCGCAACCCUUACUUUUAGUUGCCACCAUUUAGUUGAGCACUCUAAAAGAACUGCCGGUGAUAAGCUGGAGGAAGGUGGGGAUGACGUCAAGUCCUCAUGGCCCUUAUGUGUUGGGCUACACACGUGCUACAAUGGUAUCUACAAUGAGAUGCGAAGAGGCGACUCUAAGCUAAUCCCAAAAAGAUACCUCAGUUCGGAUUGCACUCUGCAACUCGAGUGCAUGAAGCUGGAAUUACUAGUAAUCGUGGAUCAGCGCGCCACGGUGAAUACGUUCCCGGGUCUUGUACACACCGCCCGU